GAUUUUAUUUAUCAUAUCUUGUUACUUGAUUUUAUGUAUUUUCCCAAACAGAUAGUGUGAGUCUGUUAGGGAAUGAGAGGCUUCUUGGACUAGAUGGGCAGGUAGAUGCAGCUCUUUGUAUGUACAGCACAAGGAAAAUGUCAGACUUUAGGGGAUAUAAAUAGAUGUCACAGCAACUAGGAAUGGGUUCCCAAGCCUGUGGAAGUGAAAAUGUGGAUGAGGGCCUGCCUAAUUCAGGGAUGCUGGGAGUAAUAGCUCUUCACACAUGAUCCAGCAUGCAGCCUUUCAUCUAAAUAAAAUGACUUGAUACAUUCUGCAGCUAAACACAGCCUGCUGCAAUGGCUCAGGGGAAGAUUUCUGAGAAGAGA